rnacentral:rRNA from 1 species
UACGCAGGGGGCAAGCGUUGUCCGGAUUUAUUGGGCGUAAAGAGCGUGUAGGCGGCCAUGUAGGUCCGUUGUGAAAACUCGAGGCUCAACCUCGAGACGCCGGUGGAAACCAUCAGGCUAGAGUCCGGAAGAGGAGAGUGGAAUUCCUGGUGUAGCGGUGAAAUGCGCAGAUAUCAGGAAGAACACCCGUGGCUAAGGCGGCUCUCUAGUACGGUACUGACGCUGAGACGCGAAAGCGUGGGGAGCGAACAGG